GAUGAACGCUGGCGAAAUGCUUUACACAUGCAAGUCGAACGGACCCUUCGGGGUUAGUGGCGGACGGGUGAGUAACGCGUGAGAAUCUGCCUUCAGGUCUGGGACAACAGAAGGGAAACUUCUGCUAAUCCGGGAUGAGCCUUUUAGGUAAAAGAUAAAUUGCCUGGAGAUGAGCUCGCGUCUGAUUAGCUAGUUGGUGUGGUAAAAGCAUACCAAGGCAACGAUCAGUAGCUGGUCUGAGAGGAUGAGCAGCCACACUGGGACUGAGACACGGCCCAGACUCCUACGGGAGG
rnacentral:rRNA from 1 species